GAUUAUCAGACGUAUUCCACUCUUCUGUGGCAAGAAUUCUGUCAGAAAAAUGAAAAUGAAAUAUGUUUUGGUCAUGAUAUUGGAAAAACUCGAGACCACGUGCAAAUUACUGAUUGCGCAUGCGCCAUUCGUUUCUAUAAGUACUUUUAAGAGUAAGGUUUUAAAAAUAAGUUUUUCGGAAACGUAAUAACUAAAAAUAAUAAUCAUUUGCUACUUUUCUUUCAGACAGUGACGAAAGCAGAUAUUCUAAAGACAGCCAGAUUACUACGCUAACUCCGUGUGAUAAUGCGCAUUCAAUAAUUUACAGAGUGUGGUGCUGCCGUACUACUUUUGUUAAUUGUUCAGUUCUUUCUGGUAGAACAUUAGCUACUGUGUAUUAUGCCAUCGCAUACUGGGAGCAACUACACUUGGACAAAAGCCACAGGUUGGUUAGAUAGUGCAGCCACAAGUUUCGAUGAAGCUUACGUUGCCAACGUCACAAAUAUUGAUCCCAGCAUAAAGACGUAUUACAUCACAGCAUUUUACGUUUACGUUGCUGACGUCAACAGGAUUAGGAAACAUGUCACCAAAUACUAACGGCGGGAAAAUAUUCUCAAUAUUUGCUGUUCUGCUUGGUUGGCUGCUGAGUACUGCAAUCUUCGACGGUAACGUCUCUUCUAAAAUGAUGCUGGUGUAUCAGCGGACAGAUGACUACCAAGAAAUUUUUUUUAAAAACUUUCAUCAUCUUCCGAAGAAUCCUGCACACUGAUUGCAAGAGACCUUCCAACACAUCUGGCUGUACACUUAUGGAACACGGUUUUAAAGAGUUUCCCGGAGUGCCUUCAAGCAAAUAUAUAACUUCAUUUGAACAGAAACUUGCUGAAUAAGUGCCCAGCGUUCCAGAAGGUAUUU